AUGAGGAAGCUCAAGUUCCACGAGAAGAAGCUGCUGAAGAAGACCAAUUUCCUCCUGUGGAAGCGGGAGGGCGGCCACCGCGAGGCCGCCGUCACGCAGCGCUACAGCCUCGUCGACAGGGACGACUACAAGAAGUACAACGGGAUUUGCUUGAUGGCGCAGAAGCUCGUGAACAUCAUAAAGCAGAUGGAUCCCAGGGACCCUUUCAGAAUAGAGAUGACGGACAUGCUGAUCGAUAAGCUGUAUAAUAUGGGUGUAAUUCCAACAAAGAAGAGCUUGGUUAAAUGUGAGAAACUUUCAGUGAGCGCCUUCGCCAGGCGGAGACUUGCAACAAUUAUGGUGAAGCUCAAGUUUGCUGAACACCUUAAAGAGGCUGUCACCUACAUUGAACAGGGCCAUGUGCGUGUAGGCCCAGAGACGGUCACCGAUCCUGCCUUCCUUGUGACCAGGAACAUGGAGGACUUCAUCACCUGGGUGGAUUCCUCAAAGAUCAAGAAGAAGAUCAUGGAGUAUAAUGGUGCAUUGGAUGAUUAUGAUGCCAUGAUUUAA
rnacentral:rRNA from 1 species